AAUCAACGCUGGCGGCGUGCCUAACACAUGCAAGUCGAGCGCGAAAGGGGAGCAAUCCCCAAGUAGAGCGGCGAACGGGUGAGUAACGCGUGGGUAAUCUGCCUCCGAGUGGGGAACAACACCGGGAAACUGGUGCUAAUACCGCAUGACAUCGUUGGACCUUCGGAUCUGACGAUCAAAGCCGGGGACCGCAAGGCCUGGCGCUUGGAGAGGAGCCCGCGUCCGAUUAGCAGUUGGUGGGGUAAUGGCCCACCAAGGCUACGAUCGUAGCCGGCCUGAGAGGGCGACGGCCACACUGGGACUGAGACACGGCCCAGACUCCUACGGGAGGCAGCAGUGGGGAAUUUUUCGCAAUGGGCGAAAGCCUGACGAAGCAACGCCGCGUGGAGGAUGAAGGCCUCGGU
rnacentral:rRNA from 1 species